rnacentral:rRNA from 1 species
UACAGAGGGGGCAAGCGUUGUUCGGAAUUACUGGGCGUAAAGGGCGCGUAGGCGGCCUGCUAAGUCGAACGUGAAAUCCCCGGGCUCAACCCGGGAACUGCGUCCGAUACUGGCAGGCUUGAAUCCGGGAGAUGGAUGCGGAAUUCCAGGUGUAGCGGUGAAAUGCGUAGAUAUCUGGAGGAACACCGGUGGCGAAGGCGGCAUCCUGGACCGGCAUUGACGCUGAGGCGCGAAAGCCAGGGGAGCAAACGGG